GUAACUGCUAAAUACAGGAAGAAAACUUCUUACGUGUAUURGAUUGACGGUACUUUGAGUAUAAUGGCCGUCUAACUCCUUGCCAGCGKCCGGGGKAAUUGSGUGGGUCCGAGCGUUAUCCGGAUUGUUGGGUUUAAAGGGUCCGUACUCACUGACUCUAAUGGACGAARAAAUGGGGMGCSUAAACUAUUAAAUUCCCUGUGAUUCUGSUCRKYUUACGUUGGAUACUAGUUGWUGGRAUSUGUAUUGUAGCGGYGAAWUGCAUAAAUUUUACACAAAACACCGAGUGCGGAGGCAGCUUACUAAKUAYUAACUGACGCUGAGGGACGAAAGCGUGGGUAGCGAACAGGAUUAGAUACCCUGGUAGUCCACGCCGUAAACGAUGGAUACUAGCUGUUSGGGACCUUGAGUUCUGAGCGGCUAAACUAAAGUGAUAASUAUCCGACCUGGGGAG
rnacentral:rRNA from 1 species